CGUUUGUAUAUGUGUUACAUUUUGUUUUUGGUUCAUUUUUGAUAUGAAUAAGGCCGUUAGUUUUCUCGUUUAAAUUGUUUUACAUGGUCAUCUUGGGGCCUUUUAAAGCUGACUAUGCGAUAUGGGCUUUUUUCAUUGUUGAAGGCCGUGCGGUGACCUAUAGUUGUUUAUUUCUGUGUCAUUUUGGUUUCUUGCGGUGAUCUGUCUCAUUGGCAAUCAUACCAUAUCUUCUUUUUUAUAUUUAUACAAUUUCGAUUGAAAAAUG
rnacentral:lncRNA from 1 species